rnacentral:rRNA from 1 species
GAUGAACGCUGGCGGCGUGCUUAACACAUGCAAGUCGAACGGACUUGAUAGGAGCUUGCUCCGAUCAAGUUAGUGGCGGACGGGUGAGUAACGCGUGGGUAACCUGCCUCACACUGGGGGACAACAGUUGGAAACGACUGCUAAUACCGCAUAAGCAUACAGUGUCGCAUGACACAGUGUGAAAAACUCCGGUGGUAUAUGAUGGACCCGCGUCUGAUUAGCUUGUUGGUGGGGUAACGGCUCACCAAGGCGACGAUCAGUAGCCGGCCUGAGAGGGUGAACGGCCACAUUGGGACUGAGACACGGCCCAAACUCCUACGGGAGGCAGCAGUGGGGAAUAUUGCACAAUGGGGGAAACCCUGAUGCAGCGACGCCGCGUGAGUGAAGAAGUAUUUCGGUACGUAAAGCUCUAUCAGCAGGGAAGAAAAUGACGGUACCUGACUAAGAAGCCCCGGCUAACUACGUG